CGGGGCUCAACGCCUUGUAAUUGGAAUGAUGGGAACCUAAACCCCUUCCAGAGUAUCAAUUGGAGGGCAAGUCUGGUGCCAGCAGCCGCGGUAAUUCCAGCUCCAAUAGCGUAUAUUAAAAUUGUUGCAGUUAAAAAGCUCGUAGUUGAAUUUCUGCCGCAUCGCGGCGGCCCUCCCGGGCCCAGCGUUGCGGCUUAUUUCGGACUCGCUUGCGUCUCCGAAUGUUUACUUUGAGAAAAUUAGAGUGCUCAAAGCAGGCCCUUGCCUUGAAUACUUUAGCAUGGAAUAAUAAAGUAGGACUUUGGUUCUAUUUUGUUGGUUUAGCGCCAAAGUAAUGGUUAAUAGGAACAGUUGGGGGCAUUCGUAUUUAACUGUCAGAGGUGAAAUUCUUAGAUUUGUUAAAGACGAACCACUGCGAAAGCAUUUGCCAAGGAUGUUUUCAUUAAUCAAGAAC
rnacentral:rRNA from 2 species